GGUGGUGGCAUUGGACAACUUACCGGUAACGCUCGUAAUGUUGUACCCGUUUACAGACCUGUGAUAUUGGCAAAAUAUGAUCAUAAUAAUGAUGCAGUUUUGACGUCUAGGCCCUAUGCAUUAAAAUAAGCAAUGAAUCAAAUUAUGUCUUCAGUAUUUUGCAUUUUACUACUAGGCCUAGCUACCACAGUCGUGGUUGAGGUGAUUUCGGAAGAUAAAUCAGAGCCUGGAAAAAGAGGAAGUACCAAGACUAGUAAAAAAGAAAAUGCCGAAGCCGACAAAGCCCUGGAGAUUUAUCAAAAAUUGUUUUUACAAAAACGAGCGCAGCAUGUCCAGGCAGUAGAAGAAAUGUUAGCAUCAUAUGACUACCAAAAAAA